rnacentral:tRNA from 1 species
GUUUCUGUAGUGUAGUGGUCAUCACGUUCGCCUAACACGCGAUAGGUCCUCGGUUUGAAACCGAGCAGAAACC